UACGCAGGGUGCGAGCGUUAAUCGGAAUUACUGGGCGUAAAGCGUGCGCAGGCGGUUCGUUGUGUCGGCGGUGAAAGCCCCGGGCUCAACCUGGGAAUGGCCGUUGAAACUGGCGAACUGGAGUGUGGCAGAGGGGGGUGGAAUUCCGCGUGUAGCAGUGAAAUGCGUAGAGAUGCGGAGGAACACCGAUGGCGAAGGCAGCCCCCUGGGCUAACACUGACGCUCAGGCACGAAAGCGUGGGGAGCAAACAGG
rnacentral:rRNA from 1 species